AGAGUUUGAUCAUGGCUCAGGACGAACGCUGGCGGCGUGCUUAACACAUGCAAGUCGAGCGGUAAGGCCCUUCGGGGUACACGAGCGGCGAACGGGUGAGUAACACGUGAGCAACCUGCCCCUGACUCCGGGAUAAGCGGUGGAAACGCCGUCUAAUACCGGAUACGACCCUCUUCCGCAUGGUGGGGGGUGGAAAGUUUUUUCGGUCGGGGAUGGGCUCGCGGCCUAUCAGCUUGUUGGUGGGGUAACGGCCUACCAAGGCGAUUACGGGUAGCCGGCCUGAGAGGGCGACCGGCCACACUGGGACUGAGACACGGCCCAGACUCCUGCGGGAGGCAGCAGUGGGGAAUAUUGCGCAAUGGGCGAAAGCCUGACGCAGCGACGCCGCGUGGGGGAUGACGGCCUUCGGGUUGUAAACCUCUUUUACCACUCACGCAGGCUCCGCGUUCUCGCGGGGUUGACGGUAGGUGGGGAAUAAGGACCGGCUAACUACGUGCCAGCAGCCGCGGUAAUACGUAGGGUCCGAGCGUUGUCCGGAAUUAUUGGGCGUAAAGAGCUCGUAGGCGGCGUGUCGCGUCUGCUGUGAAAGACCGGGGCUUAACCCCGGUUCUGCAGUGGAUACGGGCAUGCUAGAGGUAGGUAGGGGAGACUGGAAUUCCUGGUGUAGCGGUGAAAUGCGCAGAUAUCAGGAGGAACACCGGUGGCGAAGGCGGGUCUCUGGGCCUUACCUGACGCUGAGGAGCGAAAGCAUGGGGAGCGAACAGGAUUAGAUACCCUGGUAGUCCAUGCCGU
rnacentral:rRNA from 1 species